rnacentral:misc_RNA from 1 species
AACCAACAGGGAUUGCCCCAGUAACGGCGAGUGAAGCGGCAAGAGCUCAAAUUUGAAAUCUGGCCCCGUCGGGGUCCGAGUUGUAAUUUGCAGAGGAUGCUUCGGGUGCGGCCCCCGUCUAAGUGCCCUGGAACGGGCCGCCGGAGAGGGUGAGAGUCCCGUCUGGGACGGGUGGCCGCGUCCGUGUGAAGCUCCUUCGACGAGUCGAGUUGUUUGGGAAUGCAGCUCUAAAUGGGUGGUAAAUUUCAUCUAAAGCUAAAUAUUGGCCGGAGACCGAUAGCGCACAAGUAGAGUGAUCGAAAGAUGAAAAGCACUUUGAAAAGAGAGUUAAAUAGCACGUGAAAUUGUUGAAAGGGAAGCGCUUGCGACCAGACUCGCCCACGGGGGUUCAGCCGGCACUCGUGCCGGUGCACUCCCCCGCGGGCGGGCCAGCGUCGGUUUGGGCGGUCGGUCAAAGGCCCCCGGAAUGUGUCGCCCCUCGGGGCGUCUUAUAGCCGGGGGUGCAAUGCGGCCAGCCCGGACCGAGGACCGCGCUUCGGCAUGGACGCUGGCGUAAUGGUCGUAAGCGACCCGUCUUGAAACACGGACCAAGGAGUCUAACAUCUACGCGAGUGUUCGGGUGUUAAACCCGUCCGCGCAGUGAAAGCGAACGGAGGUGGGAACCCCUCGCGGGUGCACCAUCGACCGAUCCUGAUGUCUUCGGAUGGAUUUGAGUAAGAGCGUAGCUGUUGGGACCCGAAAGAUGGUGAACUAUGCCUGAAUAGGGCGAAGCCAGAGGAAACUCUGGUGGAGGCUCGCAGCGGUUCUGACGUGCAAAUCGAUCGUCAAAUUUGGGUAUAGGGGCGAAAGACUAAUCGAACCAUCUAGUAGCUGGUUCCUGCCGA